GCCUUACACAUGCAAGUCGAACGGCAGCACGGGAGCUUGCUCCUGGUGGCGAGUGGCGAACGGGUGAGUAAUACAUCGGAACGUACCCAGUAGUGGGGGAUAACGCACCGAAAGGUGCGCUAAUACCGCAUACGACCUAAGGGUGAAAGCGGGGGACCGUAAGGCCUCGCGCUAUUGGAGCGGCCAUGUCUGAUUAGCUAGUUGGCGGGGUAAAAGCCCACCAAGGCGACGAUCAGUAGCUGGUCUGAGAGGACGAUCAGCCACACUGGGACUGAGACACGGCCCAGACUCCUACGGGAGGCAGCAGUGGGGAAUUUUGGACAAUGGGGGCAACCCUGAUCCAGCAAUGCCGCGUGUGCGAAGAAGGCCUUCGGGUUGUAAAGCACUUUUGCCAGGAAGAAAUCUUUUGGGCGAAUACCCCGGAAGGAUGACGGUACCUGAAGAAUAAGCACCGGCUAACUACGUGCCAGC
rnacentral:rRNA from 1 species